rnacentral:lncRNA from 1 species
AUUCAGACUUUCCCCAUGAGAGUAGGUAAUCCCAGUCUAUGAGAAUUGAAAUCUGAAGUUCAGGAGACACUCACAUCUGGGUGUUAAAUGUCCCCAGAAAAACCAAGGUGGCAACUCAUGUUCUUGUUGGGAGGGUGGUUCCCGUUGUCAGAUAUCCAUGACCUUCCUUUGGGAAAGGAAGGACCAGCAGGGAGAAGGAGCUACUUAGAGACUCCAGCCUGCCAUGAGGAUGAAGGGGAGGAAGGAGAUACACAUGCUCGGAGUGGACCUAAUGGACAUUUCCACAGAGAUCAAAGAACAAAAUCACCUGCCAAUUUCACGUUUGCUCAUUUCUACCGCAAUGGAGCCAAGGCCUGGGAGCAAGCAGGACUCACGGCGGCUAGCCUUCCAAUGGAGGCUUUUGUUUUGUCUCCCUGCUCUUCAAAGGCGCAGGUCAGGAUUCUCCUGGUCUAGAGAGAGGGGAGCAAGGACAUGGUGCCUGGCAGCUCACAGACUACAACCACUACCAUCCAGCAGCUGGGGACGGGGACACAGGAGGUGUCCAGCACAGACAGUCUGCCACUGCUGCCUAGGACCAGAGUAAAGUGUCUGUGUCUCUAGAUAGCCUUUCACUCUGACUGGGCUGUGCAGGCCCCCUGGAAGCCCCAUCAGAGAUGGCCUACUUAGCUAGCGAGGCCUGGCUGGCUGCCAUGUAAGCAAAGGCUUCUAACAAGCUGUGGUCUCCACAGACUCACCUGAGACGCUAAACAUCUUCGCUCCAAGGACACCUUCCCUGUCUGUACCCAGGCGCGUGCGCUCACUCCAGGCCCCUCCUCCCUCCCACUCUCCUUCUCUUUCUUGGCAUAGAUUUGCCGGUCAAACUGAGAAAUAAAGGCCUCAGAUGUUCAAUGUGCUAAACUUUAUGACUGUUUUGAACAGAAAUGUGAACCUUCCUGUGGAUGAAUCUGGUGACCCAAAGUGAAGCCAAGGCAGUUUUAAAUCUUGAGCUUGGCCACUGUAAUUGCCAAAGUUUAUUUAGCCUGGAUGUCAGUCCUGCAUUUUGCACAUUAAAGUCUCCCAAUCCA